rnacentral:rRNA from 1 species
AACGAACGCUGGCGGCAUGCCUAACACAUGCCAGUCGAACGAGACCUUCGGGUCUAGUGGCGCACGGGUGCGUAACGCGUGGGAACCUGCCCUUAGGUUCGGAAUAACUCCCCGAAAGGGGUGCUAAUACCGGAUAAUGUCUUCGGACCAAAGAUUUAUCGCCUUUGGAUGGGCCCGCGUUGGAUUAGCUAGUUGGUAGGGUAAAAGCCUACCCAGGCGAAGAUCCAUAGCUGGUCUGAGAGGAUGAUCAGCCACACUGGGACUGAGACACGGCCCAGACUCCUACGGGAGGCAGAAGUGGGGAAUAUUGGACAAUGGGAGAAAGCCUGAUCCAGCAAGGCCGCGUGAGUGAUGAAGGCCUUAGGGUUGUAAAGCUCUUUUACCCGGGAUGAUAAUGACAGUACCGGGAGAAUAAGCUCCGGCUAACUCCGUG